GGCCCAUCUCUGCUCACCUCCUGUCGCGUCGCCCUCCGGCCCCUUCCCUCCUGCCGCCGUGGGCCCUAUACCCUGCCCUCCUCCCGUCAUACCACCGCCUGCGCCGCCGUCCCCAGGCGCGAGGGAGAGGGGAAGCUGUGGCCGUGCGGCGUCGCCAGAACCUCCUCGAUCCAUUAUCCAUAUUCCACAGACCCACCGAGUCACCUUUACACUGUCGCAGCCGCUACCCCGCCCGACCGACGAGAUGAGAGCCGCCACUGCGGCCUCCUUCCGCCUAGCUCCCGCCACGAACCCGCCCCAUCGCCGCGCCUCCUCCUCCUGUUCCCUGAAACCCGCCCUGACAGCUCAGCCAUCUCGCGUCUUAACGAUCGCCCGCCGCUCGCCUGUCGCCCGCGCUUCUCUCGGGGUAUCUCAUGAUAAAGACUCCAAGGUCUCUGGCGCAGAUGUUGUUGGCCAGAAUGAUCUACUCAUUGUGGGCCCUGGCGUGCUUGGACGAAUUGUAGCUGAGAAGUGGCAAAAGGAACAUCCAGGUUGCAAAGUUUAUGGCCAGACUGCAAGCACAAAUCAUCAUAGCGAGUUAACAGAUCUUGGCAUCAUCCCCUCAUUGAAGGGCUCUACUAUUUCUCAGAAGGUUCCACAUGUUAUUUUCUGUGCUCCUCCAUCUGGUUCUGAUGAUUACCCUGAGGAUGUCAGAGUGGCAGCGUCAAAUUGGAAUGGUGAAGGAUCUUUCCUGUUUACAUCAAGUACUGCUCUGUAUGACUGCAGUGACAACAUGAUGUGCAAUGAGGAUUGUCCAUCAGUGCCAAUUGGCAGGAGCCCUCGUACCGAUGUACUUCUGAAAGUGGAAAAUAUUGUUCUUGAGGCAGGAGGUUGUGUUCUCAGGCUAGCUGGACUUUAUAAGAUAGAUAGAGGUGCUCAUGUAUUUUGGUUGAGGAAAGGAACUUUGGACACACGACCAGAUCAUAUCAUCAACCAGAUUCAUUAUGAGGAUGCUGCUUCCCUUGCAACAGCGAUCAUGAAAAAGAGACUCCGGAACCAAAUCUUUCUUGGCUGCGACAAUAAGCCUCUUUCCAGGUCAUUGUGGACUUUCUGACAGGAAAUAAUGGACGCUGUCAACAGAAGUGGAAAAUUUGACACGAAGUUUGAAGGCUUUACCGGUACUGACGGUCCAUUGGGCAAGAGAAUGGAGAACUCGAAAACUCGGGCUGAGAUCGGGUGGGAGCCUAAGUAUCCCAGCUUCACUGAAUUCCUUGGUCUCAGUAGCUAGCAAUAUGCCAAUAUCUUUGCAUAGUGUUCAGUUCUUCUGACUCGAUUGAGUAGCAACCGCAAGGAAGUCGUAUCGAGGUAUGAGUUUUGAUAUAGUCUGAACUGGUGAGGGUGCACAUCUGUCUGCUCCGUGCCUGUCAUCAGUUGGAUAUUUUUUUAUUCUAAAACUAUUUGAGUUCUCCAUAAGACUAUGCGUCAUAUAGCUGCAUGGUAGUUUUCAACGUCUGGUUUUGGGAUACUGUCAACUGCAAGUACUCUCUCCAUCUCAAGUUAUUAGUUGUUUUGAUUUUUCUAGGUGCA